CCAGAAAUCCACCCAACGCGGCCUCUCAGGCCGAUGCCCUCUCAGCCCUCAGGCCGGCCCCUCGCGGCCCCCUGUCCCCUCAGAGCCCCCGGCCGCCGGCACCCCGCCUGGCACCCGCGGCCGGCGGGGAGAGGGUGUCUGUCUGCGCUUCCCCCUCUCCGAGUUAAUAUUAACCAGGGCUCAUGCGUUCCAGAACUGCUCUCAAAGUUCCACUGGGGACGAUCUUGCCAUGGUUGAGGGACUUGGGCGGCAGUCACAUUAGAGAGACAGAGACACACCGAGACGCGGAGGGACGGCGAGACGGGAGGAGGGACACGCACCUGAGAACAGAAUCCAGAAUGAAGUACUGGGAAGAACGCCCAUGUCUGGGCAAGGUGGGAAAGCAGCACCCAACUUUAUCAAGGCCUGCCAUGUGGAGGGGGUCCCACUGUCUGGGCUGUGGCCUCUGUGCCUCUGUAUGCGUCCAGGGAAACAGACAAAAAGGAUACACUGUCCUGGACCCAGGAAGACACAGGCAAAGGACCUCAGCAGCCACCGCCACCGGGCGCGCAGCGGUGGGCCGGCGGGAGGCGCGCGCCCAGGGCAAGCGAUCCCCGUCCGUGCGGAGACCUCAGACCCACCACCUGCGCUCUGGACGUCGGAGCUGGAA